CUACGGGUCGCUCCAGUGAGGAAUAUUGCACAAUGGGGGGAACCCUGAUGCAGCAACGCCGCGUGGAGGAUGACGCAUUUCGGUGUGUAAACUCCUUUUAUAUGUCAAGAAAAUGACGGUAGCAUAUGAAUAAGCACCGGCUAACUCCGUGCCAGCAGCCGCGGUAGAGUGACGGAGGGUGCAAGCGUUACUCGGAAUCACUGGGCGUAAAGGACGCGUAGGCGGGUUGGAAAGUCAGGUGUGAAAUCCUACAGCUUAACUGUAGAACUGCACUUGAAACUUCUAAUCUAGAGUAUGGGAGGGGGAGAUGGAAUUAGUGGUGUAGGGGUAAAAUCCGUAGAUAUCACUAGGAAUACCUAAAGCGAAGGCGAUCUCCUGGAACAUUACUGACGCUAAGGCGUGAAAGCGUGGGGAGCAAACAGGAUUAGAUACCCUGGUAGUC
rnacentral:rRNA from 1 species